GGCGAACGGGUGAGUAACACGUGGGUAAUCUGCCCUCGAUUCUGGGAUAGCCCGGGGAAACCCGGAUUAAUACCGGAUAGCCUCUCGAGCUUCCGAGCUCGUGAGAAAAGGUAGCUUCGGCCUCCGAUCGAGGAUGAGCCCGCGGCGGAUUAGCUUGUUGGUGGGGUAACGGCCCACCAAGGCCACGAUCCGUAGCUGGUCUGAGAGGACGAUCAGCCACACUGGGACUGAGACACGGCCCAGACUCCUACGGGAGGCAGCAGUGGGGAAUCUUGCGCAAUGGGCGAAAGCCUGACGCAGCGACGCCGCGUGGGGGAAGAAGGCCUUCGGGUUGUAAACCUCUUUCAGCAGGGACGAAGCCACUCGGGUGAAUAGCCCAGAGGGUGACGGUACCUGCAGAAGAAGCCCCGGCUAACUACGUGCCAGCAGCCGCGGUAAUACGUAGGGGGCAAGCGUUGUCCGGAUUUAUUGGGCGUAAAGAGCGUGUAGGCGGCCGCACAGGUCCGUUGUGAAAACUGGAGGCUUAACCUUCAGACGUCGAUGGAAACCGUGCGGCUAGAGUCCGGAAGAGGAGAAUGGAAUUCCUGGUGUAGCGGUGAAAUGCGCAGAUAUCAGGAAGAACACCCGUGGCUAAGGCGGUUCUCUAGUACGGUACUGACGCUGAGACGCGAAAGCGUGGGGAGCGAACAGGAUUAGAUACCCUGGUAGUCC
rnacentral:rRNA from 1 species